rnacentral:rRNA from 1 species
ACCUGCCCACUGAAUUUUGAAGGGCCGCAGUAAUUUGACUGUGCAAAGGUAGCAUAAUCAUUAGUUUUUUAAUUAAAAGCUUGUAUGAAGGGUUGGACGAGAUAAAAUCUGUCUUUAUUUAAUUUAUAGUAGAAUUUAAUUUUUAAGUUAAAAAGCUUAAAUUUAUUUAAAAGACGAGAAGACCCUAUAGAUCUUUAUAUAAAUUUUUAUAGUUUUAAUUAAGAAUAUUUUAUUUAUUAUUAAAAUUUAUAUUUUAUUGGGGUAAUAAAAAGAUUAAAUAAAUUCUUUUUUGAAUUAAACAUUGAUUUAUGAUUAGUUGAUCCAAUAUUUUUGAUUAAAAGAUUAAGUUACCUUAGGGAUAACAGCGUAAUUUUUUUAGAGAGUUCAUAUCGAUAAAAAAGUUUGCGACCUCGAUGUUGGAUUAAAAAUUAUCUUAGGUGCAGAAGUUUAAGAUUUUGGUCUGUUCGACCAUUGAAUUUU